GACGAACGCUGGCGGCAAGCUUAACACAUGCAAGUCGAACGCCGUAGCAAUGCGGAGUGGCAGACGGGUGAGUAACACGUGGGAACGUGCCUUUCGGUUCGGAACAACUGAGGGAAACUUCAGCUAAAACCGGAUACGCCCUUCGGGGGAAAGUUUACGCCGAAAGAUCGGCCCGCGUCAGAUUAGGUAGUUGGCGGGGUAAUGGCCCACCAAGCCGAUGAUCUGUAGCUGUUCUGAGAGGAAGAUCAGCCACACUGGGACUGAGACACGGCCCGGACGCCGACGGGAGGCAGCAGUGGGGAAUAUUGGAGAAGGGGCGCAAGCCUGAUCCAGCUAUGCCGCGUGGAUGAAGAAGGCCUUCGGGUUGUAAAGUCCUUUCGGCGGGGAAGAUAAUGACGGUACCCGCAGAAGAAGCCCCGGCUAAUUUCGUGCCAGCCGCCGCCGUAACAC
rnacentral:rRNA from 1 species